rnacentral:rRNA from 1 species
AUUGAACGCUGGCGGCAGGCCUAACACAUGCAAGUCGAGCGAGCGGCGGACGGGUGAGCAAGGUAUCUGGAUUUGCCCGAGAGAGGGGGUUAACUAAUGGAAACGAUGGCUAAUACCGCAUUCUUUCGGAUGAACCCAUAUGGGAUUAGGGAGUAGGUGGGGUAAAGGAUCACCUAGGCGACGAUCUCUAGCUGGUCUGAGAGGAUGAUCAGCCACACUGGGACUGAGACACGGUCCAGACUCCUACGGGAGGCAGCAGUGGGGAAGAUUGCACAAUGGGCGAAAGCCUGAUGCAGCCAUGCCGCGUGUAUGAAGAAGGCCUUCGGGUUGUAAAGUACUUUCAGCGGGGAGGCGUUACCCGCAGAAGAAGCACCGGCUAACUCCGUGCAAGCAGCCGCGGUAAUAC